rnacentral:rRNA from 1 species
UACGUAGGGUGCGAGCGUUAAUCGGAAUUACUGGGCGUAAAGCGUGCGCAGGCGGCUCUUCAAGUCAGAUGUGAAAGCCCCGGGCUUAACCUGGGAAUGGCGUUUGAAACUGGAGGGCUGGAGUGUGGCAGAGGGAGGUGGAAUUCCACGUGUAGCAGUGAAAUGCGUAGAGAUGUGGAGGAACACUGAUGGCGAAGGCAGCCUCCUGGGCCAACACUGACGCUCAUGCACGAAAGCGUGGGGAGCAAACAGG